GCCAGGCAUCUUGGUGCAUGCCUGUAAUCCCAGCAGCUUGGGAGGCUGAGGCAGGAGGAUCGAGAAUUCAAAGCCAGCCUCAGCAAAAGUGAGUUGCUAAGCAACUCAGUGAGACCCUGUCUCUA
rnacentral:sRNA from 1 species